GGUAGUUUCCCGUCAAAAGGCGGGCGCGGGGAGGUGACUGGCGGGGAGCAGUUGGCGCUGGGGCAUCGGGACGCAGACUGCCCACCUUGUUGCUAGGAUUAUAUACCCCUUGCUUGGCGUGUCAGUAGGUGCCAACAUAAGUCUUCUGUAUCCUGACUCUGAAACAUUCGUGUUGAUAGAGCAUUGGUUCAUCCAGAACAUAUCCCUGUUCAUCACAUUUCUUAAGAACUGAAAGUGCUUGGAUUAUAUUGAUUGUUCCAUGUCACAACUUCAGAACUGUUGGGGAGUAUACCAGGACGGUGUGACGCAUGUUCUGGAUGCCGGUAAAGUAGUUUUGUUUUUGUUUUUUCUCUCUUACAGAAGGAAUAUCUGUCUGUAGUGGGAUGCCUAUUGCUUGCUUCUGCAGUAUG